rnacentral:rRNA from 1 species
AGAGUUUGAUCAUGGCUCAGAACGAACGCUGGCGGCAUGCCUAAUACAUGCAAGUCGAACGAUCUCUUCGGAGAUAGUGGCGCACGGGUGCGUAACGCGUGGGAAUCUGCCCUUGGGUUCGGAAUAACGUCGGGAAACUGACGCUAAUACCGGAUGAUGACGUAAGUCCAAAGAUUUAUCGCCCAGGGAUGAGCCCGCGUAGGAUUAGCUAGUUGGUGAGGUAAAGGCUCACCAAGGCGACGAUCCUUAGCUGGUCUGAGAGGAUGAUCAGCCACACUGGGACUGAGACACGGCCCAGACUCCUACGGGAGGCAGCAGUAGGGAAUAUUGGACAAUGGGCGCAAGCCUGAUCCAGCAAUGCCGCGUGAGUGAUGAAGGCCUUAGGGUUGUAAAGCUCUUUUACCCGGGAUGAUAACGACAGUACCGGGAGAAUAAGCCCCGGCUAACUCCGUGCUAGCCGCCGCGGUAAUAC